AGACCCGAAACCCGGUGAUCUAGCCAUGGGCAGGUUGAAGGUUGGGUAACACUAACUGGAGGACCGAACCGACUAAUGUUGAAAAAUUAGCGGAUGACCUGUGGCUGGGGGUGAAAGGCCAAUCAAACCGGGAGAUAGCUGGUUCUCCCCGAAAGCUAUUUAGGUAGCGCCUCGUGAAUUCAUCUCCGGGGGUAGAGCACUGUUUCGGCUAGGGGGCCAUCCCGGCUUACCAACCCGAUGCAAACUGCGAAUACCGGAGAAUGUUAUCACGGGAGACACACGGCGGGUGCUAACGUCCGUCGUGAAGAGGGAAACAACCCAGACCGCCAGCUAAGGUCCCAAAGUCAUGGUUAAGUGGGAAACGAUGUGGGAAGGCCCAGACAGCCAGGAUGUUGGCUUAGAAGCAGCCAUCAUUUAAAGAAAGCGUAAUAGCUCACUGGUCGAGUCGGCCUGCGCGGAAGAUGUAACGGGGCUAAACCAUGCACCGAAGCUGCGGCAGCGACACUCAGGUGUUGUUGGGUAGGGGAGCGUUCUGUAAGCCUGCGAAGGUGGCCUGUGAGGGUUGCUGGAGG
rnacentral:rRNA from 1 species